GACUCCCACAGUGCACCGCGGUCCCUCCGGCGCGCUCCGGGCGCCCAGGCUGGGGCUUCCGAGUGGAGAAUUGGUGAGGCCGGAUUGGGAGGGGUCGUGGUCAAGUCGGGCUUGGCAGAGAGGCCAGUACCUGGUCCACUCGGCUGUCCUGUGUCUGGAGCCCACAACAGCCCAGGCGGAUCAGACAGCGCGCUUCAUUCUACCGGGAGGUUCCUACACGGAGGCUGUGCUUUUCCCACCCUGCUAUCUGUCGAGGACAGAGGGGACACAAGAGACAGACUGUUCUUAUGCCAUUUCAUAAUCAGUUUAACUUCUGACCUACAGUGCCAGGUUGGGGCCUGCUCGUGAUGGGCAUGUUGAUAAUCAUUUGGGACCAGCUCUGGGUUGGACGCAAUAUUAAAGGCUGGGACUACAAACAGAAAACAGUCUCUGACCAGCAGUCUGGUUGAAGAGGAAGACAGGCAGGAAAACAAUGCGGUUUGGAAAGUGCUAACAUUUAAAGUGAGGAAGCAGGCCACACCUAGAUGCGAUGGAUGGAAGAGUUCUGGGCAGAGUAGACGGCAGAGACAAAGGAUCUGAGGCAGGAGUGUCCUUGGCUUGUGUGGCUGGUCUGUGGAUAGAAGGCCACAGCUCCUGUGCGAUGCCCGCUCCAUGGAGCUCCUGUCUCCCUCUCCAUCCUUCCCCUCACAUCUUGCGGUUUAGGAGUGGAUCCCGAGCCUCUUAGUUCCCAGCUCCGGUGCUGCGCUCUCCCGUGUGGGUUCCCCACACCUGCCCACACCAUUGUAAACACUUCCUUAGUUCACCCACUUUAUGCCAUCUGUUUCCUGCUAAAACUCAGUCCCAUCCGUGAUCAGAGGAUUUUGAGAGGGGAGUGAUACAAUCUGAUUGUCAAUGUCACAGGCUUGAGUACACUACUGGAUUAGAGCGUGGGUGCAGGGAACAAGUUCGGAGGCUCUUGCGAUGGAUGUGAUGCAGGGAGGGCCUUCGGUGAUGCUAGAAAGCAAGGUGUGGCUGUGUUUUUAGUGCCUGCCUUCCAUUAUGUGCUGUGUGGCAGCCUGCUCUGUGAUCCAGGCCAGCAGGUUAAUAGUGAAGGUCUCAGAGGCAGUAGCCUUGCCCAAAACUGUGUUUUGCAUUAGAUACUACUCCUGUUUUCCUUUUAGUUUAUCGUUGAACAUGGCCCACUGGAUCCUUCACUUCAAGUGGCCCAAUGUCAUUAGAUAGCAUUCAGUCAAGUGACAGGGGGAGCAGAGGGGGAAAGUCAAAAGAACUAAGGUGUGUUGUGUCAGUGUGCAACUCCCUAUCAUGAAUGUAAUCAACGUAUACUGCAAGUAGGUACUAAUACAAAUUUUUUUUAAUUAAAAAAAUUAAUCAAGUGACAAUCAACUCUGAGGGGAAUGUAAAAGAAUUACUACUUUUGAUCCCUGUUCUCCAGCUUCUUUUAGAGAGAGAAAGAAUAUACCCAAAGCCAUCGUAGUGUGCUGAAUUAUGACUGCAUUCCACAGGAAGUGCAAGAGCCAGCAUGUGGGCUGGGGGUUAGGACGACUUCGUGGAGAGCAUGGAACUGGGGUUGGGCAUGAAUGGUGCAGAGAGGGGCAGCCAUUUCAGUACAAGAACCCCUUUUUAGGGAGGACUCAGGCCUCACUGGGGACAGCGGGGAACAGUGGCUUACCUGAUACAGGGUGCGGCAUGGGUCUGUAGGUGCGGCCCCUCUGGGUGUGGACUGCAAGGCUGAUGUGCUGGGCAGUGGGCUGCUGAGGUCCCCAAUUCAAAGGAGGAUCAGGACAGUUUCCAGGAAAGGAUCCUGGCCCUUGCUGUUGAUGUGCUGAUUCAGUCUCUGAAAGAUUGGUAAAUGGAGGUGGAACAAGUCACUGGCAUCAGGCUUUCCAGCUUUUAUGCCUCUGAGAGACAGAACCAGAGCAUGACUUGAUUAAGUGCUCAAUAGACCACUUAUGGGGCUGGGGAUUUAGUUCACUGGUUCCACCGCCUGCCUUGCAAGCACAAGGUCCCGAGUUCGAUCUCCGGUACCAAAAAUUAGACCACUUAUGUGAAUCAACUUAAUUUUAUUGAAAUUCAGUGUAUGCCAUAUUGUCCAACUCUAAGGCAGUCUCAAAUAUCAAAUUUUCCCUAUGAAAAAGUCCAAAACGUCUGGAUGUGGUGGUGCACACCUAUAAUCCUAUCACUCGAGAGGCUGACGCAGGAGAAUCACUGUGAGUUUGAGGGCAAUCUGGGCCACAUAGUGAGUUCAAGGCCAGCCUGAACUAUAUACCAAGACCCUCAAAAAACAAAACAAAAUAAAACAAAACAGUCCAAAAAACUGUUUUCAUGUUAAGUUGAAAACAUCUGUACUUUUAGGUAUGUAGGUGGCAAAAUGUACAUUUACAUUUAGGGAGAGACUGAGGGUGCAGCUCAGUGGUAGACCAUUUGCUUAGCAUGCCUGAGGCAUGGGGUUCAAUUCCCAGCACUCCAAAACUAAAUAAAUAUACCCGUACUAAUUUAAAAUCACAUACUUACUGGAGAUGUAGCUCAGUCAAAGAGUAGUUGGCUAGCACGUCUGAGGUCCUGGGUCUGAUCCCAGCAGUCACAAAAAUAAAAACAUCACAACAGGCAUGGUGACACACAUGCAUGAUGACUCCGAAGACAGGGGCAGGAGGAUAGGAGUUCAACACCUGCCUGGACAACUUAGCAAGCCUUUGUCUCAGAAUUGUAAAGAAGGGCUGGGGAUUAGGUCAGAGGUAAGAGCACUUGUCGAGCCUGUGUAAGGUCUAAAUUCAAUCUUCAGUAACAAAAAAGGAAAGAAAGAAAAUCACAACAUACUUUAUAAAAUAACAUUAGUUUAAAAAUACUGCUUUUCAUCUUACUCCUAAAACAUUUUUCUUUAAACUCUUCACGUGCAUGUUUUGGGGGGUUGGUGGUGGUACUAGGACUUGAACCCAACCUUUGGCCUGAGCUACAUACCCAGCUCUUUUUUAUUUUUUAUUUUGAGACAGGUUUUUGCUAAGUUGUGCAUACAGCCUGGGCUCAAACUUGGUGGUCCUCCUGCCUUAGCCUUCUUGCUGGGAUUACAGGUGUGCACCUCCAUACCCAGCUGUCACUGACUAUUUUAUUCCAAGUUACAAGAUUGUACUUUCACAAUAGUAAAAACUGUUCUUUACAAUGUGUCUAGUUGGUGUAUGUUUGUGAUAACCGUGACUUAAUCACUCUAUUUUAAAAAUUAUCUUUAAAAGGCUGGUUUAUAAUAGUGAUUUACACAUAGAUGUGUGAAUUUAUGUCCUCAGGAAUAAUUACUAAGUCUGUGAUUAAUUUGCCUUUUUUCAUUAAUAUGGUAGCCAAAGCAGCCACAUCUAGACCUUGAGUGAGGUUGUUUUAGGCUACUGUGUCAACCCCAAUUGCAACUUUGUAUUCUAAAUU